GCAUCAGUAGCUCAGCUCCAGAGCGCCGGUC
rnacentral:tRNA from 1 species